AGCCCACCCGUUUUUUGGCCAUUUUUCCGCUGGGGGGUCUUGGGACCCCGACCUUCGGGGGCUGAUUUUUGGGCGCGGCUGUGCCCGUGGCCUAUUUUUCGCACACAGAGGCCGCCCGCCAAGUAUGGUGCCAUUCCGAGUCCCGCGGACGAACUUCGCCCACACCCCCCACCAAGGCUAUAGCCCACCCGUUUUUUGGCCAUUUUUCCGCUGGGGGGUCUUGGGACCCCGACCUUCGGGGGAUGAUUUUUGGGCGCGGCUGUGCCCGUGGCCUAUUUUUGGCACACGGAGGCCGCCCGCCAAGUCAGGGGCCAUUCCGAGUCCCGCGGACGAACUUCGCCCACGCCGCCCACCAAGGCUAUAGCCCACCCGUUUUUUGGCCAUUUUUCCGCUGGGGGAUCUUGGGACCCCGACCUUCGGGGGCUGAUUUUUGGGCGCGGCUGUGCCCGUGGCCUAUUUUUGGCACACAGAGGCCGCCCGCCAAGUAUGGUGCCAUUCCGAGUCCCGCGGAUGAACUUCGCCCACGCCGCCCACCAAGGCUAUAGCCCACCCGUUUUUUGGCCAUUUUUCCGCUGGGGGGUCUUGGGACCCCGACCUUCGGGUGCUGAUUUUAGGGCGCGGCUGUGCCCGUGGCCUAUUUUUGGCACACAGAGGCCGCCCGCCAAGUAUGGUGCCAUUCCGAGUCCCGCGGACGAACUUCGCCCACGCCGCCCACCAAGGCUAUAGCCCACCCGUUUUUUGGCCAUUUUUCCGCUGGGGGGUCUUGGGACCCCGACCUUCGGGUGCUGAUUUUUGGGCGCGGCUGUGCCCGUGGCCUAUUUUUUGGCACACAGAGGGCCGCCCGCCAAGUCAGGGUGCCAUUCCGAGUCCCGCGGACGAAGUUCGCCCACGCCCCCCACCAAGGCUAUAGCCCACCCGUUUUUUGGCCAUUUUUCCGCUGGGGGGUCUUGGGACCCCGACCUUCGGGGGCUGAUUUUUGGGCGCGGCUGUGCCCGUGGCCUAUUUUUGGCACACGGAGGCCGCCCGCCAAGUCAGGGGCCAUUCCGAGUCCCGCGGACGAAGUUCGCCCACGCCCCCCACCAAGGCUAUAGCCCACCCGUUUUUUGGCCAUUUUUCCGCUGGGGGGUCUUGGGACCCCAACCUUCGGGGGCUGAUUUUUGAGCGCGGCUGUGCCCGUGGCCUAUUUUUGGCACACGGAGGCCGCCCGCCAAGACAGGGGCCAUUCCGAGUCCCGCGGACGAACUUCGCCCACGCCGCCCACCAAGGCUAUAGCCCACCCGUUUUUUGGCCAUUUUUCCGCUUGGGGGUCUUGGGACCCCGACCUUCGGGGGCUGAUUUUUGAGCGCGGCUGUGCCCGUGGCCUAUUUUUGGUACACGGAGGCCGCCCGCCAAGUCUGGUGCCAUUCCGAGUCCCGCGGACGAACUUCGCCCACGCCGCCCACCAAGGCUAUAGCCCACCCGUUUUUUGACCAUUUUUCCGCUGGGGGGUCUUGGGACCCCGACCUUCGGGGGCUGAUUUUUGGGCGCGGCUGUGCCCGUGGCCUAUUUUUGGCACACAGAGGCCGCCCGCCAAGUAUGGUGCCAUUCCGAGUCCCGCGGACGAACUUCGCCCACGCCCCCCACCAAGGCUAUAGCCCACCCGUUUUUUGGCCAUUUUUCCGCUGGGGGGUCUUGGGACCCCGACCUUCGGGGGCUGAUUUUUGGGCGCGGCUGUGCCCGUGGCCUAUUUUUGGCACACAGAGGCCGCCCGCCAAGUAUGGUGCCAUUCCGAGUCCCGCGGACGAACUUCGCCCACGCCGCCCACCAAGGCUAUAGCCCACCCGUUUUUUGGCCAUUUUUCCGCUGGGGGGUCUUGGGACCCCGACCUUCGGGGGCUGAUUUUUGGGCGCGGCUGUGCCCGUGGCCUAUUUUUGGCACACGGAGGCCGCCCGCCAAGUCAGGGGCCAUUCCGAGUCCCGCGGACGAAGUUCGCCCACGCCCCACACCAAGGCCAUAGCCCACCCGUUUUUUGGCCAUUUUUCCGCUGGGGGGUCUUGGGACCCCGACCUUCGGGGGCUGAUUUUUGGGCGCGGCUGUACCCGUGGCCCAGUUUUGGCACACGGAGGCCGCCCGCCAAGUCAGGGGCCAUUCCGAGUCCCGCGGAUGAAGUUCGCCCACGCCCCCCACCAAGGCUAUAGCCCACCCGUUUUUUGGCCAUUUUUCCACUGGGGGGUCUUGGGACCCCGACCUUCGGGGGCUGAUUUUUGUACGCGGCUGUGCCCGUGGCCUAUUUUUGGCACACAGAGGCCGCCCGCCAAGUAUGGUGCCAUUCCGAGUCCCGCGGACGAACUUCGCCCACGCCCCCCACCAAGGAUAUAGCCCACCCGUUUUUUGGCCAUUUUUCCGCUGGGGGGUCUUGGGACCCCGACCUUCAGGGGCUGAUUUUUGGGCGCGGCUGUGCCCGUGGCCUAUUUUUGGCACACGGAGGCCGCCCGCCAAGUCAGGGGCCAUUCCGAGUCCCGCGGACGAAGUUCGCCCACGCCCCCCACCAAGGCUAUAGCCAACCCGUUUUUUGGCCAUUUUUCCGCUGGGGGGUCUUGGGACCCCGACCUUCGGGGGCUGAUUUUUGGGCGCGGCUGUGCCCGUGGCCUAUUUUUGGCACACAGAGGCCGCCCGCCAAGUAUGGUGCCAUUCCGAGUCCCGCGGACGAACUUCGCCCACGCCGCCCACCAAGGCUAUAGCCCACCCGUUUUUUGGCCAUUUUUCCGCUGGGGGGUCAUGGGACCCCGACCUUCGGGGGCUGAUUUUUGGGCGCGGCUGUGCCCGUGGCCUAUUUUUGGCACACAGAGGCCGCCCGCCAAGUAUGGUGCCAUUCCGAGUCCCGCGGACGAACUUCGCCCACGCCCCCCACCAAGGCUAUAGCCCACCCGUUUUUUGGCCAUUUUUCCGCUGGGGGGUCUUGGGACCCCGACCUUCGGGGGCUGAUAUUUGGGCGCGGCUGUGCCCGUGGCCCAGUUUUGGCACACGGAGGCCGCCCGCCAAGUCGGGGGCCAUUCCGAGUCCCGCGGAUGAAGUUCGCCCACGCCCCCCACCAAGGCUAUAGCCCACCCGUUUUUUGGCCAUUUUUCCGCUGGGUGGUCUUGGGACCCCGACCUUCGGGGGCUGAUUUUUGGGCGCGGCUGUGCCCGUGGCCUAUUUUUGGCACACAGAGGCCGCCCGCCAAGUAUGGUGCCAUUCCGAGUCCCGCGGACGAACUUCGCCCACGCCGCCCACCAAUUCUAUAGCCCACCCGUUUUUUGGCCAUUUUUCCGCUGGGGGGUCUUGGGACCCCGACCUUCGGGGGCUGAUUUUUGGGCGCGGCUGUGCCCGUGGCCUAUUUUUGGCACACGGAGGCCGCCCGCCAAGUCAGGGGCCAUUCCGAGUCCCGCGGACGAAGUUCGCCCACGCCGUCCACCAAGGCUAUAGCCCACCCGUUUUUUGGCCAUUUUUCCACUGGGGGGUCUUGGGACACCGACUUUCGGGUGCUGAUUUUUGGGCGCGGCUGUGCCCGUGGCCUAUUUUUGGCACACAGAGGCCGCCCACCAAGUAUGGUGCCAUUCCGAGUCCCGCGGACGAACUUCGCCCACGCCCCCCACCAAGGCUAUAGCCCACCCGUUUUUUGGCCAUUUUUCCGCUGGGGGGUCUUGGGACCCCGACCUUCGGGGGCUGAUUUUUGGGCGCGGCUGUGCCCGUGGCCUAUUUUUGGCACACGGAGGCCGCCCGCCAAGUCAGGGGCCAUUCCGAGUCCCGCGGACGAACUUCGCCCACGCCGCCCACCAAGGCUAUAGCCCACCCGUUUUUUGGCCAUUUUUCCGCUGGGGGGUCUUGGGACCCCGACCUUCGGGGGCUGAUUUUUGGGCGCGGCUGUGCCCGUGGCCUAUUUUUGGCACACAGAGGCCGCCCGCCAAGUACGGUGCCAUUCCGAGUCCCGCGGACGAACUUCGCCCACGCCGCCCACCAAGGCUGUAGCCCACCCGUUUUUUGGCCAUUUUUCCGCUGGGGGGUCUUGGGACCCCGACCUUCGGGGGCUGAUUUUUGGGCGCGGCUGUGCCCGUGGCCUAUUUUUGGCACACGGAGGCCGCCCGCCAAGUCAGGGGCCAUUCCGACUCCCGCGGACGAAGUUCGCCCACGCCCCCCACCAAGGCUAUAGCCCACCCGUUUUUGGCCAUUUUUCCGCUGGGGGGUCUUGGGACCCCGACCUUCGGGGGCUGAUUUUUGGGCGCGGCUGUGCCCGUGGCCUAUUUUUAGCACACAGAGGCCGCCCGCCAAGUAUGGUGCCAUUCCGAGUCCCGCGGACGAACUUCGCCCACGCCCCCCACCAAGGCUAUAGCCCACCCGUUUUUUGGCCAUUUCUCCGCUGGUGGGUCUUGGGACCCCGACCUUCGGGGGCUGAUUUUUGGGCGCGGCUGUGCCCGUGGCCUAUUUUUGGCACACGGAGGCCGCCCGCCAAGUCAGGGGCCAUUCCGAGUCCCGCGGACGAAGUUCGCCCACGCCCCCCACCAAGGCUAUAGCCCACCCGUUUUUUGGCCAUUUUUCCACUGGGGGGUCUUGGGACCCCGACCUUCGGGGGCUGAUUUUUGGGCGCGGCUGUGCCCGUGGCCUAUUUUUGGCACACAGAGGCCGCCCGCCAAGUAUGGUGCCAUUCCGAGUCCCGCGGACGAACUUCGCCCACACCCCCAACAAGGCUAUAGCCCACCCGUUUUUUGGCCAUUUUUCCGCUGGUGGGUCUUGGGACCCCGACCUUCGGGGGCUGAUUUUUGGGCGCGGCUGUGCCCGUGCCCUAUUUUUGGCACACGGAGGCCGCCCGCCAAGUCAGGGGCCAUUCCGAGUCCCGCGGACGAAGUUCGCCCACGCCCCCCACCAAGGCUAUAGCCCACCCGUUUUUUGGCCAUUUUUCCACUGGGGGGUCUUGGGACCCCGACCUUCGGGGGCUGAUUUUUGUGCGCGGCUGUGCCCGUGGCCUAUUUUUGGCACACAGAGGCCGCCCGCCAAGUAUGGUGCCAUUCCGAGUCCCGCGGACGAACUUCGCCCACGCCCCCCACCAAGGCUAUAGCCCACCCGUUUUUUGGCCAUUUUUUCGCUGGGGGGUCUUGGGACCCCGACCUUCGGGGGCUGAUUUUUGGGCGCGGCUGUGCCCGUGGCCUAUUUUUGGUACCCGGAGGCCGCCCGCCAAGUCAGGGGCCAUUCCGAGUCCCGCGGACGAAGUUCGCCCACGCCCCCCACCAAGGCUAUAGCCCACCCGUUUUUUGGCCAUUUUUCCGCUGGGGGGUCUUGGGACCUCGACCUUCGGGGGCUGAUUUUUGGGCGCGGCUGUGCCCGUGUCCUAUUUUUGGCACACGGAGGCCGCCCGCCAAGUCAGGUGCCAUUCCGAGUCCCGCGGACGAAGUUUGCCCACGCCCCCCACCAAGGCUAUAGCCCACCCGUUUUUUGGCCAUUUUUCCGCUGGGGGGUCUUGGGACCCCGACCUUCGGGGGCUGAUUUUUGGGCGCGGCUGUGCCCGUGGCCUAUUUUUGGCACACAGAGGCCGCCCGCCAAGUAUGGUGCCAUUCCGAGUCCCGCGGACGAACUUCGCCCACGCCGCCCACCAAGGCUAUAGCCCACCCGUUUUUUGACCAUUUUUCCGCUGGGGGGUCUUGGGACCCCGACCUUCGGGGGCUGAUUUUUGGGCGCGGCUGUGCCCGUGGCCUAUUUUUGGUACCCGGAGGCCGCCCGCCAAGUCAGGGGCCAUUCCGAGUCCCGCGGACGAAGUUCGCCCUCUCCCCCCACCAAGGCUAUAGCCCACCCGUUUUUUGGCCAUUUUUCCGCUGGGGGGUCUUGGGACCUCGACCUUCGGGGGCUGAUUUUUGGGCGCGGCUGUGCCCGUGUCCUAUUUUUGGCACACGGAGGCCGCCCGCCAAGUCAGGGGCCAUUCCGAGUCCCGCGGACGAAGUUCGCCCACGCCCCCCACCAAGGCUAUAGCCCACCCGUUUUUUGGCCAUUUUUCCGCUGGGGGGUCUUGGGACCCCGACCUUCGGGGGCUGAUUUUUGGGCGCGGCUGUGCCCGUGGCCUAUUUUUGGCACACAGAGGCCGCCCGCCAAGUAUGGUGCCAUUCCGAGUCCCGCGGACGAACUUCGCCCACGCCGCCCACCAAGGCUAUAGCCCACCCGUUUUUUGACCAUUUUUCCGCUGGGGGGUCUUGGGACCCCGACCUUCGGGGGCUGAUUUUUGGGCGCGGCUGUGCCCGUGGCCAAUUUUUGGUACCCGGAGGCCGUCCGCCAAGUCAGGGGCCAUUCCGAGUCCCGCGGACGAAGUUCGCCCACGCCCCCCACCAAGGCUAUAGCCCACCCGUUUUUUGGCCAUUUUUCCGCUGGGGGGUCUUGGGACCCCGACCUUUGGGGGCUGAUUUUUGGGCGCGGCUGUGCCCGUGGCCUAUUUUUGGCACACGGAGGCCGCCCGCCAAGUCAGGGGCCAUUCCGAGUCCCGCGGACGAAGUUCGCCCACGCCCCCCACCAAGGCUAUAGCCCACCCGUUUUUUGGCCAUUUUUCCGCUGGGGGGUCUUGGGACCCCGACCUUCGGGGUCUGAUUUUUGGGCGCGGCUGUGCCCGUGGCCUAUUUUUGGCACACGGAGACCACCCGCCAAGUAUGGUGCCAUUCCGAGUCCCGCGGACGAACUUCGCCCACGCCCCCCACCAAGGCUAUAGCCCACCCGUUUUUUGGCCAUUUUUCCGCUGGGGGGUCUUGGGACCCCGACCUUCGGGGGCUGAUUUUUGGGCGCGGCUGUGCCCGUGGCCUAUUUUUGGCACACGGAGGCCGCCCGCCAAGUAUGGUGCCAUUCCGAGUCCCGCGGACGAACUUCGCCCACGCCGCCCACCAAGGCUAUAGCCCACCCGUUUUUUGGCCAUUUUUCCGCUGGGGGGUCUUGGGACCCCGACCUUCGGGGGCUGAUUUUUGGGCGCGGCUGUGCCCGUGGCCUAUUAUUGGCACACGGAGGCCGCCCGCCAAGUCAGGGACCAUUCCGAGUCCCGCGGACGAAGUUCGCCCACGCCCCCCACCAAGGCUAUAGCCCACCCGUUUUUUGGACAUUUUUCCGCUGGGGGGUCUUGGGACCCCGACCUUCGGGGGCUAAUUUUUGGGCGCGGCUGUGCCCGUGGCCUAUUUUUGGCACACAUAGGCCGCCCGCCAAGUAUGGUGCCAUUCCUAGUCCCGCGGACAAACUUCUCCCACACCACCCACCAAGGCUAUAGCCCACCCGUUUUUGGCCAUUUUUCCGCUGGGGGGUCUUGGGAGCCCGACCUUCGGGGGCUGAUUUUUGGGCGCGGCUGUGCCCGUGGCCUAUUUUUGGCACACGGAGGCCGCCCGCCAAGUCAGGGGCCAUUCCGAGUCCCGCGGACGAAGUUCGCCCACGCCCCCCACCAAGGCUAUAGCCCACCCGUUUUUUGGCCAUUUUUCCGCUGGGGGGUCUUGGGACCCCGACCUUCGGGGGCUGAUUUUUGGGCCGCGGCUGUGCCCGUGGCCUAUUUUUGGCACACAGAGGCCGCCCGCCAAGUAUGGUGCCAUUCCGAGUCCCGCGGACGAACUUCGCCCACGCCCCCCACCAAGGCUAUAGCCCACCCGUUUUUUGGCCAUUUUUCCGCUGGGGGGUCUUGGGACCCCGACCUUCGGGGGCUGAUUUUUGGGCGCGGCUGUGCCCGUGGCCUAUUUUUGGCACACAGAGGCCGCCCGCCAAGUAUGGUGCCAUUCCGAGUCCCGCGGACGAACUUCGCCCACGCCCCCCACCAAGGCUAUAGCCCACCCGUUUUUUGGCCAUUUUUCCGCUGGGGGGUCUUGGGACCCCGACCUUCGGGGGCUGAUUUUUGGGCGCGGCUGUGCCCGUGGCCUAUUUUUGGCACACGGAGGCCGCCCGCCAAGUCAGGGGCCAUUCCGAGUCCCGCGGACGAAGUUCGCCCACGCCCCCCACCAAGGCUAUAGCCCACCCGUUUUUUGGCCAUUUUUCCACUGGGGGGUCUUGGGACCCCGACCUUCGGGGGCUGAUUUUUGGGCGCGGCUGUGCCCGUGGCCUAUUUUUGGCACACGGAGGCCGCCCGCCAAGUCAGGGGCCAUUCCAAGUCCCGCGUACGAAGUUCGCCCACGCCUCCCACCAAGGCUAUAGCCCACCCAUUUUUUGGCCAUUUUUCCACUGGGGGGUCUUGGGACCCCGACCUUCGGGGGCUGAUUUUUGUGCGCGGCUGUGCCCGUGGCCUAUUUUUGGCACACAGAGACCGCCCGCCAAGUAUGGUGCCAUUCCGAGUCCCGCGGACGAACUUCGCCCACGCCGCCCACCAAGUCUAUAGCCCACCCGUUUUUUGGCCAUUUUUCCGCUGGGGGGUCUUGGGACCCCGACCUUCGGGGGCUGAUUUUUGGGCGCGGCUGUGCCCGUGGCCUAUUUUUGGCACACAGAGGCCGCCCGCCAAGUAUGGUGCCAUUCCGAGUCCCGCGGACGAACUUCGCCCACGCCCCCCACCAAGGCUAUAGCCCACCCGUUUUUUGGCCAUUUUUCCGCUGGGGGGUCUUGGGACCCCGACCUUCGGGGGCUGAUUUUUGGGCGCGGCAGUGCCCGUGGCCUAUUUUUGGCACACAGAGGCCGCCCGCCAAGUAUGGUGCCAUUCCGAGUCCCGCAGAUGAACUUCGCCCACGCCGCCCACCAAGGCUAUAGCCCACCCGUUUUUUGGCCAUUUUUCCGCUGGGGGGUCUUGGGACCCCGACCUUCGGGGGCUGAUUUUUGGGCGCGGCUGUGCCCGUGGCCUAUUUUUGGCACACGGAGGCCGCCCGCCAAGUCAGGGGCCAUUCCGAGUCCCGCGGACGAAGUUCGCCCACGCCCCCCACCAAGGCUAUAGCCCACCCGUUUUUUGGCCAUUUUUCCGCUGGGGGGUCUUGGGACCCUGACCUUCGGGGGCUGAUUUUUGGGCGCGGCUGUGCCCGUGGCCUAUUUUUGGCACACAGAGGCCGCCCGCCAAGUAUGGUGCCAUUCCGAGUCCCGCGGACGAACUUCGCCCACGCCGCCCACCAAGGCUAUUGCCCACCCGUUUUUUGGCCAUUUUUCCACUGGGGGGUCUUGGGACCCCUACNNNNNNNNNNNNNNNNNNNNNNNNNNNNNNNNNNNNNNNNNNNNNNNNNNNNNNNNNNNNNNNNNNNNNNNNNNNNNNNNNNNNNNNNNNNNNNNNNNNNNNNNNNNNNNNNNNNNNNNNNNNNNNNNNNNNNNNNNNNNNNNNNNNNNNNNNNNNNNNNNNNNNNNNNNNNNNNNNNNNNNNNNNNNNNNNNNNNNNNNNNNNNNNNNNNNNNNNNNNNNNNNNNNNNNNNNNNNNNNNNNNNNNNNNNNNNNNNNNNNNNNNNNNNNNNNNNNNNNNNNNNNNNNNNNNNNNNNNNNNNNNNNNNNNNNNNNNNNNNNNNNNNNNNNNNNNNNNNNNNNNNNNNNNNNNNNNNNNNNNNNNNNNNNNNNNNNNNNNNNNNNNNNNNNNNNNNNNNNNNNNNNNNNNNNNNNNNNNNNNNNNNNNNNNNNNNNNNNNNNNNNNNNNNNNNNNNNNNNNNNNNNNNNNNNNNNNNNNNNNNNNNNNNNNNNNNNNNNNNNNNNNNNNNNNNNNNNNNNNNNNNNNNNNNNNNNNNNNNNNNNNNNNNNNNNNNNNNNNNNNNNNNNNNNNNNNNNNNNNNNNNGGCUGUACCCGUGGCCUAUUUUUGGCACACGGAGGCCGCCCGCCAAGUCAGGGGCCAUUCCGAGUCCCGCGGACGAAGUUCGCCCACGCCCCCCACCAAGGCUAUAGCCAACCCGUUUUUUGGCCAUUUUUCCGCUGGGGGGUCUUGGGACCCCGAGCUUCGGGGGCUGAUUUUUGGGCGCGGCUGUGCCCGUGGCCUAUUUUUGGAAUACAGUGACCGCCCGCCAAGUAUGGUGCCAUUCCGAGUCCCGCGGACGAACUUCGCCCACGCCGCCCCACCAAGGCUAUAGCCCACCCGUUUUUUGGCCAUUUUUCCGCUGGGGGGUCUUGGGACCCCGACCUUCGGGGGCUGUUUUUUGGGCGCGGCUGUGCCCGUGGCCUAUUUUUGGCACACGGAGGCCGCCCGCAACGUCUGGUGCCAUUCCGAGUCCCGCGGACGAACUUCGCCCACGCCCCCGACCAAGGCUAUAGCCCACCCGUUUUUUGGCCAUUUUUCCGCUGGGGGGUCUUGGGACCCCGACCUUCGGGAGCUGUUUUUUGGGCGCGGCUGUGCCCGUGGCCUAUUUUUGGCACACGGAGGCCGCCCGCCACGUCUGGUGCCAUUCCGAGUCCCGCGGACGAACUUCGCCCACGGCCCCCACCAAGGCUAUAGCCCACCCGUUUUUUGGCCAUUUUUCCGCUGGGGGGUCUUGGGACCCCGACCUUCGGGGGCUGUUUUUUGGGCGCGGCUGUGCCCGUGGCCUAUUUUUGGCACACGGAGGCCGCCCGCCAAGUCUGGUGCCAUUCCGAGUCCCGCGGACGAACUUCGCCCACGCCCCCCACCAAGGCUAUAGCCCACCCGUUUUUUGGCCAUUUUUCCGCUGGGGGGUCUUGGGACCCCGACCUUCGGGGGCUGUUUUUUGGGCGCGGCUGUGCCCGUGGCCUAUUUUUGGCACACGGAGGCCGCCCGCCAAGUCUGGUGCCAUUCCGAGUCCCGCGGACGAACUUCGCCCACGCCCCCCACCAAGGCUAUAGCCCACCCGUUUAUUGGCCAUUUUUCCGCUGGGGGGUCUUGGGACCCCGACCUUCGGGGGCUGGUUUUUGGGCGCGGCUGUGCCCGUGGCCUAUUUUUGGCACACGGAGGCCGCCCGCCAAGUCUGGUGCCAUUCCGAGUCCCGCGGACGAACUUCGCCCACGGCCCCCACCAAGGCUAUAGCCCACCCGUUUUUUGGCCAUUUUUCCGCUGGGGGGUCUUGGGACCCCGACCUUCGGGGGCUGUUUUUUGGGCGCGGCUGUGCCCGUGGCCUAUUUUUGGCACACGGAGGCCGCCCGCCAAGUCUGGUGCCAUUCCGAGUCCCGCGGACGAACUUCGCCCACGGCCCCCACCAAGGCUAUAGCCCACCCGUUUUUUGGCCAUUUUUCCGCUGGGGGGUCUUGGGACCCCGACCUUCGGGGGCUGUUUUUUGGGCGCGGCUGUGCCCGUGGCCUAUUUUUGGCACACGGAGGCCGCCCGCCAAGUCUGGUGCCAUUCCGAGUCCCGCGGACGAACUUCGCCCACGCCCCCCACCAAGGCUAUAGCCCACCCGUUUUUUGGCCAUUUUUCCGCUGGGGGGUCUUGGGACCCCGACCUUCGGGGGCUGGUUUUUGGGCGCGUCUGUGCCCGUGGCCUAUUUUUGGCACACGGAGGCCGCCCGCCAAGUCUGGUGCCAUUCCGAGUCCCGCGGACGAACUUCGCCCACGCCCCCCACCAAGGCUAUAGCCCACCCGUUUUUUGGCCAUUUUUCCGCUGGGGGGUCUUGGGACCCCGACCUUCGGGGGCUGUUUUUUGGGCGCGGCUGUGCCCGUGGCCUAUUUUUGGCACACGGAGGCCGCCCGCCAAGUCUGGUGCCAUUCCGAGUCCCGCGGACGAACUUCGCCCACGCCCCCCACCAAGGCUAUAGCCCACCCGUUUUUUGGCCAUUUUUCCGCUGGGGGGUCUUCGGACCCCGACCUUCGGGGGCUGGUUUUUGGGCGCGGCUGUGCCCGUGGCCUAUUUUUGGCACACGGAGGCCGCCCGCCAAGUCUGGUGCCAUUCCGAGUCCCGUGGACGAACUUCGCCCACGGCCCCCACCAAGGCUAUAGCCAACCCGUUUUUUGGCCAUUUUUCCGCUGGGGGGUCUUGGGACCCCGACCUUGGGGGGCUGUUUUUUGGGCGCGGCUGUGCCCGUGGCCUAUUUUUGGCACACGGAGGCCGCCCGCCAAGUCUGGUGCCAUUCCGAGUCCCGCGGACGAACUUCGCCCACGCCCCCCACCAAGGCUAUAGCCCACCCGUUUUUUGGCCAUUUUUCCGCUGGGGGGUCUUGGGACCCCGACCUUCGGGGGCUGUUUUUUGGGCGCGGCUGUGCCCGUGGCCUAUUUUUGGCACACGGAGGCCGCCCACCAAGUCUGGUGCCAUUCCGAGUCCCGCGGACGAACUUCGCCCACGCCCCCCACCAAGGCUAUAGCCCACCUAUUUUUUGGCCAUUUUUCCGCUGGGGGGUCUUGGGACCCCGACCUUCGGGGGCUGUUUUUUGGGCGCGGCAGUGCUCGUGGCCUAUUUUUGGCACACGGAGGCCGCCCUCCAAGUCUGCUGCCAUUCCGAGUCCCGCGGACGAACUUCGCCCACGCCCCCCACCAAGGCUAUAGCCCACCUAUUUUUUGGCCAUUUUUCCGCUGGGGGGUCUUGGGACCCCGAACUUCGAGGGCUGUUUUUUGGGUGCGGCUGUGCCCGUGGCCUAUUUUUGGCACACGGAGGCCGCCCGCCAAGUCUGGUGCCAUUCCGAGUCCCGCGGACGAACUUCGCCCACGCCCCCCACCAAGGCUAUAGCCCACCCGUUUUUUGGCCAUUUUUCCGCUGGGGGGUCUUGGGACCCCGACCUUCGGGGGCUGUUUUUUGGGCGCGGCUGUGCCCGUGGCCUAUUUUUGGCACACGGAGGCCGCCCGCCAAGUCUGGUGCCAUUCCGAGUCCCGCGGACGAACUUCGCCCACGCCCCCCACCAAGGCUAUAGCCCACCCGUUUUUUGGCCAUUUUUCCGCUGGCGGGUCUUGGGACCCCGGCCUUCGGGGGCUGUUUUUUGGGCGCGGCAGUGCCCGUGGCCUAUUUUUGGCACACGGAGGCCGCCCGCCAAGUCUGGUGCCAUUCCGAGUCCCGCGGACGAACUUCGCCCACGGCCCCCACCAAGGCUAUAGGCCACCCGUUUUUUGGCCAAUUUUCCGCUGGGGGGUCUUGGGACCCCGACCUUCGGGGGCUGUUUUUUGGGCGCGGCUGUGCCCGUGGCCUAUUUUUGGCACACGGAGGCCGCCCGCCAAGUCUGGUGCCAUUCCGAGUCCCGCGGACGAACUUCGCCCACGCCCCCCACCAAGGCUAUAGCCCACCCGUUUUUUGGUCAUUUUUCCGCUGGGGGGUCUUGGGACCCCGACCUUCGGGGGCUGUUUUUUGGGCGCGGCUGUGCCCGUGGCCUAUUUUUGGCACACGGAGGCCGCCCGCCAAGUCUGGUGCCAUUCCGAGUCCCGCGGACAAACUUCGCCCACGACCCCCACCAAGGCUAUAGGCCACCCGUUUUUUGGCCAUUUUUCCGCUGGGGGGGUCUUGGGACCCCGACCUUCGGGGGCUGUUUUUUGGACGCGGCUGUGCCCGUGGCCUAUUUUUGGCACACGGAGGCCGCCCGCCAAGUCUGGUGCCAUUCCGAGUCCCGCGGACGAACUUCGCCCACGGCCCCCACCAAGGCUAUAGGCCACCCGUUUUUUGGCCAAUUUUCCGCUGGGGGGUCUUGGGACCCCGACCUUCGGGGGCUGUUUUUUGGGCGCGGCUGUGCCCGUGGCCUAUUUUUGGCACACGGAGGCCGCCCGCCAAGUCUGGUGCCAUUCCGAGUCCCGCGGACGAACUUCGCCCACGCCCCCCACCAAGGCUAUAGCCCACCCGUUUUUUGGUCAUUUUUCCGCUGGGGGGUCUUGGGACCCCGACCUUCGGGGGCUGUUUUUUGGGCGCGGCUGUGCCCGUGGCCUAUUUUUGGCACACGGAGGCCGCCCGCCAAGUCUGGUGCCAUUCCGAGUCCCGCGGACGAACUUCGCCCACGGCCCCCACCAAGGCUAUAGCCCACCCGUUUUUUGGCCAUUUUUCCGCUGGGGGGUCUUGGGACCCCGACCUUCGGGGGCUGUUUUUUGGGCGCGGCUGUGCCCGUGGCCUAUUUUUGGCACACGGAGGCCGCCCGCCAAGUCUGGUGCCAUUCCGAGUCCCGCGGACGAACUUCGCCCACGCCCCCCACCAAGGCUAUAGCCCACCCGUUUUUUGGUCAUUUUUCCGCUGGGGGUCUUGGGACCCCGACCUUCGGGGGCUGUUUUUUGGGCGCGGCUGUGCCCGUGGCCUAUUUUUGGCACACGGAGGCCGCCCGCCAAGUCUGGUGCCAUUCCGAGUCCCGCGGACGAACUUCGCCCACGCCCCCCACCAAGGCUAUAGCCCACCCGUUUUUUGGCCAUUUUUCCGCUGGGGGGUCUUGGGACCCCGACCUUCGGGGGCUGUUUUUUGGGCGCGGCUGUGCCCGUGGCCUAUUUUUGGCACACGGAGGCCGCCCGCCACGUCUGGUGCCAUUCCGAGUCCCGCGGACGAACUUCGCCCACGGCCCCGACCAAGGCUAUAGCCCACCCGUUUUUUGGCCAUUUUUCCGCUGGGGGGUCUUGGGACCCCGACCUUCGGGGGCUGUUUUUUGGGCGCGGCUGUGCCCGUGGCCUAUUUUUGGCACACGGAGGCCGCCCGCCAAGUCUGGUGCCAUUCCGAGUCCCGCGGACGAACUUCGCCCACGGCCCCCACCAAGGCUAUAGCCCACCCGUUUUUUGGCCAUUUUUCCGCUGGGGGGUCUUGGGACCCCGACCUUCGGGGGCUGGUUUUUGGGCGCGGCUGUGCCCGUGGCCUAUUUUUGGCACACGGAGGCUGCCCGCCAAGUCUGGUGCCAUUCCGAGUCCCGCGGACGAACCUCGCCCACGCCCCCCACCAAGGCUAUAGCCCACCCGUUUUUUGGCCAUUUUUCCGCUGGGGGGUCUUGGGACCCCGACCUUCGGGGGCUGAUUUUUGGGCGCGGCUGUGCCCGUGGCCUAUUUUUGGCACACAGAGGCCGCCCGCCAAGUAUGGUGCCAUUCCGAGUCCCGCGGACGAACUUUGCCCACGCCCCCCACCAAGGCUAUAGCCCACCCGUUUUUUGGCCAUUUUUCCGCUGGGGGGUCUUGGGACCCCGACCUUCGGGGGCUGAUUUUUGGGCGCGGCUGUGCCCGUGGCCUAUUUUUGGCACACGGAGGCCGCCCGCCAAGUCAGGGGCCAUUCCGAGUCCCGCGGACGAAGUUCGCCCACGCCCCCCACCAAGGCUAUAGCCCACCCGUUUUUUGGCCAUUUUUCCACUGGGGGGUCUUGGGACCCCGACCUUCGGGGGCUGAUUUUUGUGCGCGGCUGUGCCCGUGGCCUAUUUUUGGCACACAGAGGCCGCCCGCCAAGUAUGGUGCCAUUCCGAGUCCCGCAGACGAACUUCGCCCACGCACCCCACCAAGGCUAUAGCCCACCCGUUUUUUGGCCAUUUUUCCGCUGGGGGGUCUUGGGACCCCGACCUUCGGGGGCUGAUUUUUGGGCGCGGCUGUGCCCGUGGCCUAUUUUUGGCACACAAAGGCCGCCCGCCAACUAUGGUGCCAUUCCGAGUCCCGCGGACGAACUUCGCCCACGCCCCUCACCAAGGCUAUAGCCCACCCGUUUUUUGGCCAUUUUUCCGCUGGGGGGUCUUGGGACCCCGACCUUCGGGGGCUGAUUUUUGGGCGCGGCUGUGCCCUUGGCCUAUUUUUGGCACACGGAGGCCGCCCGCCAAGUCAGGGGCCAUUCCGAGUCCCGCGGACGAAGUUCGCCCACGCCCCCCACCAAGGCUAUAGCCCACCCGUUUUUUGGCCAUUUUUCCACUGGGGCGGCUUGGGACCCCGACCUUCCGGGGCUGAUUAUUGUGCGCGGCUGUACCCGUGGCUAUUUUUGGCACACAGAGGCCGCCCGCCAAGUAUGGUGCCAUUCCGAGUCCCGCGGACGAACUUCGCCCACGCCCCCCAUCAAGGCUAUAGCCCACCCGUUUUUUGGCCAUUUUUCCGCUGGGGGGUCUUGGGACCCCGACCUUCGGGGGCUGAUUUUUGGACGCGGCUGUGCCCGUGGCCUAUUUUUGGCACACAGAGGCCGCCCGCCAAGUAUGGUGCCAUUCUAAGUCCCGCGGACGAACUUCGCCCACGCCGCCCACCAAGGCUAUAGCCCACCCGUUUUGUGGCCAUUUUUCCGCUGGGGGGUCUUGGGACCCCGACCUUCGGGGGCUGAUUUUUGGGCGCGGCUGUGCCCGUGGCCUAUUUUUGGCACACGGAGGCCGCCCGCCAAGUCAGGGGCCAUUCCGAGUCCCGCGGACGAAGUUCGCCCACGCCCCCCACCAAGGCUAUAGCCCACCCGUUUUUUGGCCAUUUUUCCACUGGGGGGUCUUGGGACCCCGACCUUCGGGGGCUGAUUUUUGGGCGCGGCUGUGCCCGUGGCCUAUUUUUGGCACACGGAGGCCGCCCGCCAAGUAUGGUGCCAUUCCGAGUCCCGCGGACGAACUUCGCCCACGCCCCCCACCAAGGCUAUAGCCCACCCGUUUUUUGGCCAUUUUUCCGCUGGGGGGUCUUGGGACCCCGACCUUCGGGGGCUGAUUUUUGGGCGCGGCUGUGCCCGUGGCCUAUUGUUGGCACACAGAGGCGGCCCGCCAAGUAUGGUGCCAUUCCGAGUCCCGCGGACGAAGUUCGCCCACGCCCCCCACCAAGGCUAUAGCCCACCCGUUUUUUGGCCAUUUUUCCGCUGGGGGGUCUUGGGACCCCGACCUUCGGGGGCUGAUUUUUGGGCGCGGCUGUGCCCGUGGCCUAUUUUUGGCACACGGAGGCCACCCGCCAGGUCUGAGGCCAUUCCGAGUCCCGCGGACGAACUUCGCCCACGCCCCCCACCAAGGCUAUAGCCCACCCUUUUUUUGGCCAUUUUUCCGCUGGGGGGUCUGGGGACCCCACCUUCGCGGCUGUGCCCGUGGCCUAUUUUUGGCACACAGAGGCCGCCCGCCAAGUAUGGUGCCAUUCCGAGUCCCGCGGACGAACUUCGCCCACGCCGCCCACCAAGGCUAUAGCCCACCUGUUUUUUGGCCAUUUUUCCGCUGGGGGGUCUUGGGACCCCGACCUUCGGGGGCUGAUUUUUGGGCGCGGCUGUGCCCGUGGCCUAUUUUUGGCACACGGAGGCCGCCCGCCAAGUCAGGGGCCAUUCCGAGUCCCGCGGACGAAGUUCGCCCACGCCCCCCACCAAGGCCAUAGCCCACCCGUUUUUUGGCCAUUUUUCCGCUGGGGGGUCUUGGGACCCCGACCUUCGGGGGCUGAUUUUUGGGCGCGGCUGUGCCCGGGGCCUAUUUUUGGCACACGGAGGCCGCCCGCCAAGUCAGGGGCCAUUCCGAGUCCCGCGGACGAAGUUAGCCCACGCCCCCCACCAAGGCUAUAGCCCACCCGUUUUUUGGCCAUUUUUCCGCUGGGGGGUCUUGGGACCCCGACCUUCGUGGGCUGAUUUUUGGGCGCGGCUGUGCCCGUGGCCUAUUUUUGGCACACAGAGGCCGCCCGCCAAGUAUGGUGCCAUUCCGAGUCCCGCGGACGAACUUCGCCCACGCCGCCCACCAAGGCUAUAGCCCACCCGUUUUUUGGCCAUUUUUCCGCUGGGGGGUCUUGGGACCCCGACCUUCGGGGGCUGAUUUUUGGGCGCGGCUGUGCCCGUGGCCUAUUUUUGGCACACGGAGGCCGCCCGCCAAGUCAGGGGCCAUUCCGAGUCCCGCGGACGAAGUUCGCCCACGCCCCCCACCAAGGCUAUAGCCCACCCGUUUUUUGGCCAUUUUUCCGCUGGGGGGUCUUGGGACCCCGACCUUCGGGGGCUGAGUUUUGGGCGCGGCUGUGCCCGUGGCCUAUUUUUGGCACACAGAGGCCGCCCGCCAAGUAUGGUGCCAUUCCGAGUCCCGCGGACGAUUUUCGCCCACGCCGCCCACCAAGGCUAUAGCCCACCCGUUUUUUGGCCAUUUUUCCACUGGGGGGUCUUGGGACCCCGACCUUCGGGGGCUGAUUUUUGUGCGCGGCUGUGCCCGUGGACUUUUUUUGGCACACAGAGGCCGCCCGCCAAGUAUGGUGCCAUUCCGAGUCCCGCGGAUGAACUUCGCCCACGCCCCUCACCAAGGCUAUAGCCCACCCGUUUUUUGGCCAUUUUUCCGCUGGGGGGUCUUGGGACCCCGACCUUCGGGGGCUGAUUUUUGGGCGCGGCUGUGCCCUUGGCCUAUUUUUGGCACACGGAGGCCGCCCGCCAAGUCAGGGGCCAUUCCGAGUCCCGCGGACGAAGUUCGCCCACGCCCCCCACCAAGGCUAUAGCCCACCCGUUUUUUGGCCAUUUUUCCACUGGGGCGGCUUGGGACCCCGACCUUCCGGGGCUGAUUAUUGUGCGCGGCUGUACCCGUGGCUAUUUUUGGCACACAGAGGCCGCCCGCCAAGUAUGGUGCCAUUCCGAGUCCCGCGGACGAACUUCGCCCACGCCCCCCAUCAAGGCUAUAGCCCACCCGUUUUUUGGCCAUUUUUCCGCUGGGGGGUCUUGGGACCCCGACCUUCGGGGGCUGAUUUUUGGGCGCGGCUGUGCCCGUGGCCUAUUUUUGGCACACGGAGGCCGCCCGCCAAGUAUGGUGCCAUUCCGAGUCCCGCGGACGAACUUCGCCCACGCCCCCCACCAAGGCUAUAGCCCACCCGUUUUUUGGCCAUUUUUCCUGCUGGGGGGUCUUGGGACCCCGACCUUCGGGGGCUGAUUUUUGGGCGCGGCCUGUGCCCGUGGCCUAUUUUUGGCACACNNNNNNNNNNNNNNNNNNNNNNNNNNNNNNNNNNNNNNNNNNNNNNNNNNNNNNNNNNNNNNNNNNNNNNNNNNNNNNNNNNNNNNNNNNNNNNNNNNNNNNNNNNNNNNNNNNNNNNNNNNNNNNNNNNNNNNNNNNNNNNNNNNNNNNNNNNNNNNNNNNNNNNNNNNNNNNNNNNNNNNNNNNNNNNNNNNNNNNNNNNNNNNNNNNNNNNNNNNNNNNNNNNNNNNNNNNNNNNNNNNNNNNNNNNNNNNNNNNNNNNNNNNNNNNNNNNNNNNNNNNNNNNNNNNNNNNNNNNGGGACCCCGACCUUCGGGGGGUGGAUUUUGGGCGCAGGCUGUGCCCGUGGCCUAUUUUUGGCACACGGAGGCCGCCCGCCAAGUCAGGGGCCAUUCCGAGUCCCGCGGACGAAAUUCGCCCACGCCCCCCACCAAGGCUAUAGCCCACCCGUUUGUUGGCCAUUUUUCCGCUGGGGGGUCUUGGGACCCCGACCUUCGGGGGCAGAUUUUUGGGCGCGGCUGUGCCCGUGGCCUAUUUUUGGCACACAGAGGCCGCCCGCCAAGUAUGGUGCCAUUCCGAGUCCCGCGGACGAACUUCGCCCAC
rnacentral:lncRNA from 1 species